rnacentral:rRNA from 1 species
CCCCCUUUUUUUUACAAAACAUGUCCUAAUGAUUCAUAUUUGUAUUAGGUCUAGCCUGCUCAAUGAUUUUUUAAAUAGCCGCAGUAUUUUGACUGUGCGAAGGUAGCAUAAUCAUUUGUCUUUUAAUUGAAGGCUUGUAUGAAUGGUUGGAUGAGGGAAUUGCUUUCUUUAUAUUAAAUAGUUGAACUUAAUUUUUUAGUUAAAAAGCUUAAAUUUUUAAGUGGGACGAGAAGACCCUAUAGAAUUUUAUUUUAUUAUUAUAUUUAUUAUUUUAGCAGUUAUUAUUUUAAAUAUAAUUAUUAAUUUUGUUGGGGUGACGUUGAGAUUUUAUUAACUCUCAUAUUAAAGAUUUUAAUAAUUAUUAUAUUUAGGAUCCUAUUUUACGGAUAAUUAGAUUAAAUUACCUUAGGGAUAACAGCGUUAUUCUUUCUGAGAGUUCUUAUCGAUGGAGGAGUUUGCGACCUCGAUGUUGGAUUAAAAUUAGAUUUAAGUGCAGAAGCUUAUUUUCUAGGUCUGUUCGACCUUUAAAAUUUUACAUGAUCGAAUUUCCAACCCGGAAA